rnacentral:lncRNA from 1 species
AAAAAAUGGAGAAAUCUUCACUCAAAUUGGCUCUCACGGUCAUCCUCGUGGUUUUUGCAUACUGUAAGUCUCUCCUAUCCAUUUAUGUUCAUUCCUAUUAACUUUAAAAGGUGACAUAUCACAUUUAUGCAUGCAUAUUUAAUAGUGAUUGAAUUAAUUGAUGCAUGUUGAAAAUGAUGUGCAGAUUCAGAUGAGAUGGUAGCUGAAGGGAGGUUCCGUGUAAUUUCAUUUCGAUGCAAGGAGGAUACAGACUGCAGCAUCAGCGUUUGUGGAAAAUGCAAAACUUGCAUUUGCAAAGAUACUUGGUGUGCGUGCAAAGAAGAUGAAUUCCCACCAGUCUCCGCCGUCGACCCCUUCUUGGGGCACCAAUAGGCACCAGAAGCAUGCCUAGCUCUUAUGAAGAUGGUGUAUUCAAUUAAUUAAUUAAGACUUUCGAAAGGUCCAACUUCUAAUACAAGAUUUAGAAA